AUUGAACGCUGGCGGCAGGCCUAACACAUGCAAGUCGCGCGGAGCGGCGGACGGGUGAGUAAUGCCUAGGAAUCUGCAUGGUAGUGGGGGAUGCCGUCCGGAAACGGGCGCUAAUACCGCAUACUAUCCAAUGAGCCUAGGUCGGAUAAGCUCGUUGGUGGGGUAAAGGCCUACCAAGGCGACGAUCCGUAACUGGUCUGAGAGGAUGCUCAUUCACACUGCAACUGAGACACGGUCCAGACCCCGACGUGAGUCAGCAGUGGGGAAUAUUGGACAAUGGGCGAAAGCCUGAUCCAGCCAUGCCGCGUGUAUGAAGAAGGCCUUCGGGUUGUAAAGUACUUUCAGCGGGGAGGCGUUACCCGAAGAAGAAGCACCGGCUAACUCCGUGCCAGCAGCCGCGGUAAUAC
rnacentral:rRNA from 1 species